rnacentral:lncRNA from 1 species
UCAGAAGCUGAGAAUGCAGAAAAUGGCAUAACCGCCAAGAACCAUACGGCGUUUCUCAGUUACGCAUCACAAAAUGUUUAGACAUUUGGUGUCACCACGUCAUACGUAGAAUGCUAAAACGAAAAACAGUGAUGGAACAUAAAAAGUCCCAAGAUCCCUACGUUUUGGUAGGCUAUACUAUUAAGCAACAACUAGGUCAUAGAAGAUCAUACGAUUCUCAGUCCAGUACUCUACCAUCAUCAACACAAAAAACUUAUCAGAUCUUCCACAAGCUGCCGCGGCAGAGCAAAACCUCCUGUGCAUCAGAUCACCAGUUUACCUCGUGAGGCGGAGGUAGAUCACCCCGGCGGCGGCUGCAACGGUGGCCGCGCCGGCCACGGCUCCAGCCUUCGCCAGCCACGCGACCCGCUCCUCAGGCGACGGAGGAGGAACCACGCUCUCCUCCUCCACGGCAGGGCCGGCGGCGGCUUCAGCGGCCUUCUUCCUCAGGGCAUCCACCUCCUCCUCGAGCCAGGGCCUCACGUAGCGACGGUAGCGUAAGGAGUUCACCUUGCCGUCGAGCUGCUCGGGGUUGCGCUGGUCCGCCUUCCUCUCAUCCUUCUCUGCUUUGAAGAGCUCCUCCAGAUCCUUGAGCUCCUCCCGGAGAGCGGCCAUCUUCGCGUCGGAAGAAGCGACCGCGUACUCGACCGCAGAUCAAGAGAACCCCUGUGUAUGGGAAAAGAAAAUAAUAAACGAAUGGAAGCAAGAGCAGCAACCCAGCAACCGAACGUAUAUAUGGGUGCAUCAGGGGCGGUUUUAUGCAGAUUGAGAUUACGUACUUUUGUUACUAACUUAUGACCUAGUAUUCGUUAAACCCAUAUGUUAAUAACAAAGUCACGUGAUUUUGAUGGCAGACGAAUUUAAUCUGUUUGUACGGGUAGGAGGUUAGAAUGUUAAGUUAGCUCUGAGGGGAUACUCCCUCUGAAUUUUGAUAAAUAAUAACGUUGUUAAUUUUCUAUUAUGUGUUUAACCAUUUGUUUUAUUUAGAAUAUUUAUGAGAAUAUUUUAAAAUAUAUGUUAGAAUUAAAAUAUAUUUAGUAAUAAACCCAAUAACAAUAAAAUAAAUGAUUAUUGCUUAAGUUUUUAGUAAAAUAAUAAUCAAAAUAUGUGCUUAAAAAAUUAACGGUGUUAUUUAUUAAAAUAUGGAUAAAUUAAUUUGCAAUCAACACUACCCCUGCAUAGACCAUGGGAGAGAGAACUGACAAGAUAAAAGCUACUAUCUUCGUUCUGAAAUAGGAUAAUUUUUUAUUUUUUCAUACAAUGUUUUUACUCUUCUCUUAUUUAAAAAAAUUUUGUGAUAAAUAUUUUUAUUCUUACUGGAUGAUAAAACAUAAAUAGUACUUUAUGCGUGACUAUUUUUUUAAGUUUCUAUACAAAUUUUUUAAAUAAAACAAAUGGUCACACGUUGGACACGGAAAAAUGAAAAUUAAAGUUAUUAUAGGACGGAGGUAGUAUCGUGGAUUUCAAAUUCUGGAAAAUUCACGAACGGUUGGCCAUGUGUAUCUUAAUUUGGAUGAUCAUCUAAGACAAUCAUUCUUUAUAUUUUUUUACUUCAACAGAUCAUCUAUAUAUGACAUCUUCUGUAUCUCUUUGAAAGAUGAAGAGAGAACAUCCAAAUAUGAAAUUUCUCUCCUAAUAUAGAUGACAUCCAAAAUAGAUGAGAUAGAUGUUCUGCUAGAGCUUAGUUUUUACUCUCUAUCUUUUAUUUUUAUGAUGUAGGAUAGGAUAGAUAUGCUGCUGAGGAUGUUCUAAUAACCACCAAGAAUUUAUACUAGAUCCUGCAAAUUAUCAAUAGCUACAAGAGGAGUAAUAGCAGGAAAAAAAUGGAAAAUAUCGGCUUGGAUAUCAAAUCACCAUUUCUCGGAUGUCAAAAUUCAGGAGCAGAGACGAGGAAGCAAAGCACAUGAUGAGCCUCCAAAAAAAGAAAAAGUUAGGAAACAAAACUAGCACAUCGCGGGGGUCGUGGUGGACACGGCACCACGCCACGCCGCGCCUCGACUCGGCGCGUACGCGAUCCUGACGGCGAAUACGGUCACGACCGCGAGGCCCACGGCGGGGAGGAGGCGACAGGCGUGCUUGUCGACGGCGACCGCCCGGUGGAAGAGGCGCCAGCCGGGUGCCCGGAGGACGAGGAGCACGUCGGCGAACUGGUGCAGCUGGCAGCUGCCGGCGGUGGCGCGCGCGCCGCGGAGCAUGGUCGCGAUUCUGUCGGGGUUGUCGACGAGGUGUUCGCGAACAUCCAUCAGCUGGACGAAGGUGAAUAGUACUCGGGGGUUCUCGUGGUUCUCCGCCUCCGCCAUUGCCGUGGUGUCCGUGGGUUCUCUCGCGCUUACGCGUGGCUCCGUCACCGUCAGACAGAGGUUGUUGUACAAAGCUUGGGUUUGCGUGGGAAUUUAUAUGAACUCGCACAGUCACGCUGCUAAUCCGCAAUCCCCACCGGUCGAGAGGAGACAGCCGACGUGAUCUUCUUUUGCGAACAAGGUAACCGGCGUGAUCAAGGCUCUCAUCAAACAAAUUAACUCGCUCUCGUCUAUAAUGGAUCAACGGAAAAUUCUCACGUUCCACUCCCACACAUGCAAAAUCUCGUUACAAUCAUUCGAAACAACGGACAAACGUGGCAAACACAGAUUUACAUAUUAACGUAUCUCAUUUCAGCAAAUCACCAUGUCUUAAAUCAGAACCAGAGUGAAAAAGAAGAACGACCAAACUAACCUAUAACAGAAUUGCACGUAGCAGAGUCAUCAACAAGACACCUGUGUUAAUUUCUCGAUCCAUCCACAGUCUACGCUGCCCGACACUGAAAAAGAAAAAUGGCGAAGAUCAAUGAAUCGGCCGUCGUGGUCGAUCAAGGGCGCAUCAGAUUGCCACCGAAGAGGAAACACGUGAUGAAGACGGGGUCCGCUGCUCCAUUAGUCCAUUGGUGUGCAUUGGACUACUGCCCUUGAGCUUGCGCGUGCCUCCGUCUUUAGGUGGUGUUUCUGGAAUAGGUGGGUUAUCAAUGAUCCAAUCGAUAUAAGGUCCCUUUCAAUUACAGAAAUAAAAAAACUGAGAAAUAGAAAAAAUAUAAGAUUCUGAUAUAAAUGUAAGCGUAAAACAAAGGAUUAUAAAACACAGAAAAACAUAGGAAUAACCGUUUGAUUCGACCACAGGAGAAAAAUAGAAAUUUAAGGAAAGAUAAAACUCAAAGGAUUUUUUCCAUGAUGUUCUAACUCUUGUUAAAUUUCCUCCAAAAUUUAUAUGGGAAAUGACAUUCCAUAGGAAUUUCAUAGGAUUUCAUAGGGCUCAUUCCUUUUAUUCAAAGGGCUUUGUAGGAAAAAUUCCUAUAGAAAUAAAAUCCUCUAAAAUUCAUAUGAAUUUACUUAUCAAAGAGGGCCUAAAUUUGCAUCUUUGCUUAUACUUAUCCUUAUAAGCUAAAAUUUAAAUUUUCAAACUUAAAUUUUAGUUGAUUUUAGGAAUUUUUCACCGAAGUUUUAUUUUAGGAUAUCUAUAUAAAAAUUUUAUUCGUAAAAUAUUUUUUAUUUACAAAUAUGAUGUUUGGCUUUUUCUUUAUUCCCUUAUUAUACAAAUAUAAGUAUGUUCAUCGUCAUAAGUAUGUCUAGUACAUCUGUUUAGAGGUAAAAUUAGAAUAAAAAUAUAUAACAUUUUAUUAUAUUUACGUAUCAUAUGUUAUAUUCUUAUAUUAAAAUAGAUGAACUAUUAGAUACUCCAUCUGUCCCAUAAUAUAGAGAAUUUGGACUAUUCACUUAUAAUUUUUGACCAUUUGUCUUAUUCAAAAUUUUGAUAUAAAUAUAAAAAUUUAUAAGUAAUACUUAAACUACUUUUAAUAAUAAAGAAAAUAAAAAAAUAAAUAAUACUUUCAAUUUUUUAAAAAAAGACGGGUAAGACUAAAAAAAAGUUAAAAUCUCAUAUAAUCUAUGACUCUCGUAUGGGACGGAGGUAAUAUUAUAUCUUUCUAAAGUUUCGAGAACAAAUACGUUUAGAUUUAAAUUUUAUUAUGCAACUGGCGAUAGUAGUGUGAUGUGACAUGACAGCGCCCUUGCAGACUUGCAGUAUUGCAUCACAAAGGAAAAACCUAGUGCGUCCAAAUUCAUACUUGUAACUCAAAUUAACAUUAGUUUUUCUCGGAGAUCUUAUCAAAAUCAUCGAAAAUUGCAUUCAAUAUCUGAAAUUGACAGGUGACGGCCCAUCGCUUUUGUUUAAGUUUCAUUUAAAUUUUUAAUCUUAAAAUCAAAGUUAAUUUUGGAUUUUUAGUUUUCAACAUUAACUUUUAAAUCGCUAAAGCAUAUUAUAAAUGUUUUAUUUAUAAAUUAUUUUGUUUGUAAAUAUGUCUUUUCGCUUUUUUUAGCUUAUUUUACUAUCGCCUGAGUCGAUAAAUGAGGGGCGGUAACCAAAUUGCAUCACGGAGAAAAUCAGUAACAGAAGCUAUGGAGCCAAAUGCGCCACCAGUCCACCCCCAUUCUUCAAAAGGAGAUGAGUUACUCCGCAAACGCAACGCGUCCAACCGUCUCUAAUUGCAUGUCGGCUGGUUAAAUGGACCUUGAUCAGAUGCUACCCAACACUUUUACAUGCAACAUUACAACCAGUGAACGGAACCAGGCAACAAAUGUUGCACUUGCACAGCACCAUGCCAGAGGCAUUGCUACUAUACCACAACAUAAAGCUUUCAAAACAGGGGCUUCAGCUAUAGAUUGAUGAACUGUGCCAGAGGUAAACUCAUAGGCCUAGAUGGCUAGCUCAAAGAGAGAUCAACAAGCUUUAGCAACAAAAAGAAUCAGCAACAGAGUUAAUUCAAAGAAAACUGAACACAGCGGCUAGGAACACCAAAGAACAUAUAAUUCGCGCAUAUCAGAUCCCACUUACUAUCUCAGAGAGCUGAUUAUUCCGAAAUGGGAUAUAAAAACAUUGUGUUGACUUUCAAGUUAAAUAGAGUAACUGACAAUCCUCAUCAACAAAGCUCGCUAGCCAGAAAAAAAUGGCACAGAUCAUCUCCAGAAAUAUGAUAUUCCGCUAGACUUCAUACUUCGCAGUAAAUAAACGUAGAAAAGUUAUGCAGAAAUUGCAACACACCAAUUACCUACUGUACGAUGUAUUGUAUAGGCAAUUACUAAUUCAGUUCCAAAAUCAACUUAAAGACUAAAGCGACUCCAUAACUAACCAGAGACAAUCGUUUCAGGAACAACUGACUACUGAGAUGCAACCAAAUAGCAAACUGGCUACAUUUUGCAAUUCACACAGAAGUGUAUGAUUGCAUAUUGAAUUACUAUUUGGCUGACUAACUGCACUGUACACUUAAAUCAUCGCAACAAAAAAAUUCACCAUGAACACAAAUCAUUUUUACAAGAUACAACAUUUAUCAAAUUAAAUGGUUUGGCUAGGUACUACUAACAAAUGAAGUAGGAAACAGCGCUCAUAAGAAUAUGGUUUAUAAACUCCGAUAAUGAUCAAAACCUUCAAUUCUGAAAGUGGUGUGUUGAAUCCUUUCAUUCUAGAUAAAAGGAGUCAGACUAAAGUUCCAUUGUAAGAUUGAUUCACUGAUGAUCAGAAAUAGUCAAUCAGAAGCUGCAGAAUGGUAACAGAUAGUAGGGAGUACCACGGUAUCCAAAAUGAUAACAGAAUAACAGACAAUUGAACCCAAUUAUAAAAUAACCAAAUACUACAAUCAAGAAACAAAUCGAGCUAUCUUUAGCUUGUCAAUAUCAAUAACCUAACACAUUAGGAUAAAUGAAUCACCCUAUACUCUUUAACAUAUAUUUUACAACGUUCAUUUGCAAAAUCCCAGACAGUAAAUUUAUUGUAAAACAAGUCAAAAUAUGUUGAAAUAUAAACAGCAAAUGCUUCCCAUAGACCAUAGUCAUAAUCGGCAACAUAAGCAUGCAAAUAAAAUGCACAAAUAUAACCACAUAACCAAAGUAGGGCACACCGUUUUUUUGUAUUAAAACAGUCCCAAAAAAAUUUCAAGGCCAUUGGCAUCAAUCAAUCACAGCUACAGUGCAUAUCAAACAUUUCUUUCCAAAUUCAAGGACAUGCAAGGGCACCAAUCCUAGACCCCAAAAUGAAUAUAAGUGAGACAGUGAAAAAUUGCCCCGCCCAACAUAUUUUCCGGAAUGAAUAACCAUCUACAGAGGAAGUACGUACAGGUCAAAAGGCAUGUACCAGACAGAUACAGUGAAUAGGCAUAAAAACAACACUAGACAUAAUAGCUAUAGUUCCUCCGUGAUAGGAAGCCGAUUCUGGAACUACAACUAGAAACCGCAAGUAUUAGCACAAAAUGUCUAGAGGUCAGAUAGCAAACUCGCAGAGCAUAUUAAUCAACUGUAACACAUAUCACAUAUCAGCGCAUUCCAUCAAUCAAUUCAUUAAAAAGGAUAUCCCAAAACCAUCAAGCAAUAUACUGAAGCGCACACAUCCAGAUAUGCAAACUGCACACCAUCAGUAACAACUAAUCAGAAGCUCAGGAUGGAGAAAAUGGCAUAACCGCCAAGAACCAUACGGCGUUUCUCAGUUACGCAUCACAAAAUGUUUAGACAUUUGGUGUCACCACGUCAUACGUAGAAUGCUAAAACGAAAAACAGUGAUGGAACAUAAAAAAAAUCCCCAGAUCCCUAUGUUUUGGUAGGCUAUUAAGCAACAACAAGUUCAUAGAAGUCAUACUAUUCUCAGUCCAGUACUCUACCAUCAUCAACACAAAAAAACUCAUCAAAUCUUCCAUAAGCUGUUGCGGCAGAUCAAAACUUCCUGUGCAUCAGAUCACCAGUUUACCUCUUGAGACGGAGGCAGAUCAGCACGGCAGCGGCUGCAACGGCGGCCCCGACGGCCACGGCUCCAGCCUUCACCG